rnacentral:lncRNA from 10 species
GUGAGUACUAAACAUGUGAGCCACUAUUAUGUAAGUAUAUGUCAUAGAUUUACUUGCAUUUUAUUUUGAAAUAUCAAUUCCAUUUUUCUCUUCUUCAUUCCUGCAUCCUUCCCCUAUCCCCCAGUCAUUCCAAAUGUGCCCAGCAUUUAGCACAGCUCUGUUGGCCAAAACAUGGAUCAAUUGCUUAUUUUGGACAAACAAAGAACUUCAUUCCUUCCUAGCAGAUGUGUGUCUGUAAAUAACCUCAAGAAUAACCUUAAGAAAUAUUUUUUCUCUCUCUCUCUAAUGACAUUUAAAGAAAUGAGGCUUUCUAGAUAACAGGCUCCACGGCCAUGUGAGCACAGUGUCUACACAGGUGGCUACUGCCCAGCCCUCAGUGGUCUCCUUAGAAACCAGCCUCUCUGCACGGUGAGUCAGAGGCGGCAGGAGGAGCUGGGCAGUGAGUCAUGUCAGGAAACGGCAUGCUCCGUGUGCGAGCAGAUGCCGGUUUAUUUCACUGAUUCAUUUCCACCUACUUCCUCCUACCUCUGUCUGCACUCUCAAAUGAACAGAAAGUUCAUUCAUCUCGCCUCUUGCCUGUGAUGCUACAUGCUCCCCCUAUUUCUCGGAAUGCUUACCAUAGGCCCCACAAUGCUGGAUGCCGUACAGAUCAAGCCACCCCUGUUCUCUGCGAUGGGACACUCUAAGAAGGAGGUGUCACCCACAUUGUCAUCCCUGGUUUUCAAGUUAACUGCCAUGACGGACUUCAUGAUGAAUUUGUGGAUUUUCUCACAAGCCCUCACACCUCUGUCCUUUGAGCAUUUUGUCAACAGUGGACAACUGCUGUGAUUCUUAACACAUUUAAAAAAAAAAAUGUGAUCGCCUGUAGUCAAGUUUCCCUGCUUUGGAAGGGAAGGGGAUCCAUUUUUCAACUCAGAAUUAGAGGAUGAACCUGUUAACAGGGAGAGGCUGAGAAGAGAAAAAAUGGGGAGUUAAAUUCAGCUCUAAACGCUAUGGAGAAUCAAUAAAUAUCGACAGGCAAGGGGGCAGAAGGAAGGAGAGAGGUUUUGCCAACCUCAACUGAUAUCUGUUAAUAAUACCAAACAGCAAUCUGUCAUCAGCCUGGCAACACUGGAUUUUCCCCAAGGAAAAUCCAGGGUCCCCUCCCAGCAGUUCUUGGAGAAAGAGCUUAGAGUUCUGAGUUCCUGGGAGAGGAUGGACUGUAGGCGGGAUCAGAGUACUGAGAUCCUGACAAUUAAACCUGCUUACAUUUUCCCUGCGUGCAGACAUGGUGUUUGGAAACAGCAACCUCCAGUCAUCUUGCUUAGCUCUUUGGGGUUCUGGUCAUACAUACAUCUUUCUAAACUUCAAAAGUCUAUGCAAGCACACUGACCUGGCAGGUUAUUUGAAUUCUUGUUCUGGUUUACAAGUCUUUCUAAGACAUUUACACCAGAGCUAGAAGAAAGAGACCGGAUUUUGGAAAUUGCUCACAGGUUCGAGAGAGGAUUACCGGAGCACAAGAGCCGGGCGGAGUUCUACACUCACAACUUCACAAAGAAAGUGUAAUUGCUGCAGAAGUCUUUGUGCAACUGAGGAAGCCCAUCUCUAAGAACAAUGAUAAGAAACCCACCCUGAACUUUUUCAACAGGUAAGCUCAUUUAAAGGUGAUAACCAACAGCAACAGGAAAACAGGAAUGUCCUCAAGAAAUAGUCUAAAUUUUAAUGACAACAUUGUGAUUUAAAUGAAGAUAAACCUAAAAAGGCAGAGAGAUUUCAGAUAUCAAAAGAUUGAUUCCAUGACUCAAAAGCAUAAUGUGUAAUCUGGAGUCAGAGGCAGGUGAUAUUGACUGAAGCAUACGUCUCAAUUAUUUCUUGAGUUAGCUGGUUCUCCUCCUCUGCUGCUGUACUCUUUCUGUGCCAAAUGAGUAGCUUUUCUUAUUUCAUCACCGCAUUUUGACUCUAAUCUGAGAACAUAAUCCUUAUUUCAGUUCUAAUAAAAUUAUAUUUUUAUUUCCAUUCAUAACAAAGCAUCGCACAACAGUGUCAUAAUUACUAUGAAUUUCUUGCUUACUUUA